GUUCCUGUAGCGCAAUGGAUAGCGUUUUGGGCUUCUAAUCCAAAAGUCAUGGAUUCAAAUCCCACCAGGUAUG